rnacentral:rRNA from 1 species
UACGUAGGGUGCGAGCGUUGUCCGGAAUUACUGGGCGUAAAGAGCUCGUAGGGGGUUUGUCGCGUCGUCUGUGAAAUCCCGAGGCUCAACCUCGGGUCUGCAGUCGAUACGAGCAAACUAGAGUGUUGCAGGGGAGACUGGAAUUCCUGGUGUAGCGGUGAAAUGCGCAGAUAUCAGGAGGAACACCGGUGGCGAAGGCAGCUCGCUGGGACGGUACUGACGCUGAGACGCGAAAGCGUGGGGAGCAAACAGG